UCGAACGAUGAAGCCUUUCGGGGUGGAUUAGUGGCGAACGGGUGAGUAACACGUGGGCAAUCUGCCCUUCACUCUGGGACAAGCCCUGGAAACGGGGUCUAAUACCGGAUAACACUCUGUCCCGCAUGGGACGGGGUUAAAAGCUCCGGCGGUGAAGGAUGAGCCCGCGGCCUAUCAGCUUGUUGGUGGGGUAAUGGCCUACCAAGGCGACGACGGGUAGCCGGCCUGAGAGGGCGACCGGCCACACUGGGACUGAGACACGGCCCAGACUCCUACGGGAGGCAGCAGUGGGGAAUAUUGCACAAUGGGCGAAAGCCUGAUGCAGCGACGCCGCGUGAGGGAUGACGGCCUUCGGGUUGUAAACCUCUUUCAGCAGGGAAGAAGCGAAAGUGACGGUACCUGCAGAAGAAGCGCCGGCUAACUACGUGCCAGCAGCCGCGGUAAUACGUAGGGCGCAAGCGUUGUCCGGAAUUAUUGGGCGUAAAGAGCUCGUAGGCGGCUUGUCACGUCGGAUGUGAAAGCCCGGGGCUUAACCCCGGGUCUGCAUUCGAUACGGGCUAGCUAGAGUGUGGUAGGGGAGAUCGGAAUUCCUGGUGUAGCGGUGAAAUGCGCAGAUAUCAGGAGGAACACCGGUGGCGAAGGCGGAUCUCUGGGCCAUUACUGACGCUGAGGAGCGAAAGCGUGGGGAGCGAACAGGAUUAGAUACCCUGGUAGUCCACGCCGUAAACGUUGGG
rnacentral:rRNA from 1 species